rnacentral:rRNA from 1 species
UGUAGUCUGCAACCCGACUACACGAAGCCGGAAUCGCUAGUAAUCGCGAAUCAGAAUGUCGCGGUGAAUACGUUCCCGGGUCUUGUACACACCGCCCGUCACACCAUGGGAGUCGGAAAUGCCCGAAGUCAGUGACCCAACCGCAAGGAGGGAGCUGCCGAAGGCAGGUCCGGUAACUGGGGUGAAGUCGUAACAAGGUAAC